rnacentral:misc_RNA from 1 species
GAAAUGCGAUAAGUAGUGUGAAUUGCAGAAUUCAGUGAAUCAUCGAAUCUUUGAACGCACAUUGCGCCCCUUAGUAUUCCAUGGGGCAUGCCUGUUCGAGCGUCAUUUCCACCAUCAGGCCCCCGGGCCUGUGUUGGGGACCUGCGGCUGCCCGCAGGCCCCGAAAUUCAGUGGCGGUCGCGCCGUAGCAACCGAGCGUAGUAACUAAAACGUCUCGCUCUGGCUCGCUGGGCGCGCUCCGGCCGUAAAACACCCCCCCUUUUCGCAAAGGUUGACCUCGGAUCAGGUAGGAAUACCCGCUGAACUUAAGC